AUAUUAUGUCGUGACAGGACAAAAUCCAGAGUAUGUACAGAAAAAAAUGGACACAAGAUUGGCAAGACAUCAAGUUGCUAGGAGAGACAAAUACAUUUGUACAAACAUCAAUCUUGACCAUGGAAUAGAAGCAUUCAUAAUUGAGGACGUACAUACAUACACCAAGAUAAGAGAAGGAUGAGAUUAUUCCUGACUGACUGACUCGCACACACUGUUUACCCUGAAUUUCUCAAGGACAAGAUAGCGCAAUGAAACUAAACUGGCUUACUGAUGAUGACGCGACGACGUACACUUGCUGGAAUUUUUGAAGCGAUUUCAAUCUCUCAUGGCGAUGACGGAUGGACGAGAUGAGAUUGAGGUUUUCAGUAGUCGGCGGUGGGGAGCUGCUCGUGGGGGCGCUGGCCGAUGAAGCAGAUGUCGUAGACGAGGGCGGCGAUGGCGGCGCCGGCGAAGGGGCCGAGCCAGUAGACCCAGUGGUUCUCCCAGACGCCGCUGACGACAGCGGGGCCGAAGGAGACGGCGGGGUUCAUGGAGGCGCCGUCGAAGGCGCCGCCGGCGAGGAUGUUGGCGCCGACGAUGAAGCCGAUGGCGAUGGGCGCGAUCACCCCGAGGUCGCCGCGCUUGGGGUCGACCGCGGUGGCGUACACCGUGUAGACGAGCCCGAAGGUCAUGACGAUCUCGAACACCACGGCGUUCCAGACGCCGACGCCGGCGGAGAGCGAGAAGGCGCCCACGGCCUCGCCGCCGGUGGCGAUCUUGAGGAGGAGGCAGGCCACGACGGAGCCGAGCAGCUGCGCCACCCAGUACACCACGGCCUUGAGCAGGCUGAU
rnacentral:lncRNA from 1 species